ACUGGUGGAAAGGAAUGAAAAUGCGUGGAAGGUGUGGUGUUUGAUGAUAUGCGUCCUCAUAUGCUGGCUCCACUAUCCAAAGGGUGGAUUGAUCAGUGGCCCAGGUUGCAGUAUGUGUACCAUGGUUUGAUCAAUGGCCCAGAUAACCUUAAAUUCAUUCCACACGCUCCACCAAAUGGUCCUCUGUUAAUCACUCGCCAAAAAUCGACCUUUUUUUUUGUUGGUCAUAGAUUCUUGCUCUUCCUCUUUUCCAUGGUUGCUGAGUAUGGCUCUUUCCUCUUUUCCCCUUUCAAGAUUCUCUAUUCUUUUCAGACUUGAUUAUAAUAUGCAUAUUCACACAUUUAAGAAGCAUGUGUAGCUGUUUAUCCAAGUACCGUGCAGAAUGACAUUGUGUGGUUUUGGCCUAAAACUGAUCUUUAAUACAAAGACAUUCUUUUGAAGAACAAGCCUCCCUACAUUCCAGAAUUGGAUGGCCCAUCAUAUACCAGGUUAAAGGGUAACAGAUAUAUUCCAUGUGGGUAUGCAUCGAUAUGGCUGAACUCAUUUCAAGUAUCUUCAUGUUUCUACCAUCAAAAUGAUUGCAUAACAGUAUAACACUGAAAAUAAAGAUAGAAGGAAGGAGAAGUAAAGAAGAGAAACUAUGCUCUUUGAAUCCUUGUGACAGUCAAGUAAGGAUUUUGAAGACCCUUCUCUGGUUUGGAGGCAUCUUAGGAUUUAUUCUGAUGGGAACUUGAGAAUUUUCUCGUGGGAUGAUGCAGGCAUUGUGAGUAGGGUGGCAGGCAGUUGAGAACCAGUGCAGUGUGUUUGGUUCUUGUGGUUUGUACAGCUCUACUGCACCUGUUUGUGGCUCUCAUGGGAUGGAUUCAGGAUGUUUUGGGUGCAAGAAAAUGGUGGAUUUGGUAAACUGCAAGAUGAAUACAAGAAUGAUUGCUUGAUGAGAAGUUAGUCCCUAAGUUGACGGAUUUUGGACGUCAGAGCUUACUCUAGGAGGAGCCAGCUUCUUCUUCAGAGUCUCCCUCAGAGAGAGAUAUUUACAUGUUUGGAGUAAAGCUGCUGCAAACUGUAACAUGCCAGAGAGAUGUUCAUGGGGACAACCUGCGCCACUUAAUUGGCAAGAUGAAUCAAGAACAAAAACUGAAGGGCAGUGAGGAGAGGGAAGGAGCGAAAACAGUGGCGAGGAUAGCUUUGCAGUGUAUGCAAAAUCAAACGUUCUUACGACCUUCCAUCGGGGAGGCAGUUAAGGUAUUAGAAGGGACACUUUCAGUAGAUAGGCCUCCAUCAGCUUUUCCUUUCAGACAGGAGAGCCAGAUGGAUGAAAGAGUCUUAACCGAGAUUGUGGAAGUUUCCUAGAAGAAUGCCAAAUUUGAUUUGGAAGCAUGAGUUCUUAUUGUAUCAGCUCCAUGCUCCGUCAUUUAACUGCAAUGCAGAGGAAUGGCUGGGGGUUAACCCCAGCAAUGUGUGAAUCUUAUCAAAUGUAUGGCAACAAUGAACUCAUUCAACAUGUAGAGCCUUGAGUCACAGUAUACAUGCGGACAAGAAAGGAUGGCAAGGUAUAUUAUGUGUCUUGGGUGUUCUGCCAGGGCUGAGGUGACACUUUAAGGUGAGUCUCACUCUCACUGGGACCUCCUUCAAAUGUGGGUGCUGUUCUGAUGGUGGAAUGCAAAUACUAACCAAAACCUUACUAAAACCAUUGCAAAGAUCCUGAACCCCCAGCAGGCAAAUGCCAUGAUUCAUCCUCAAAGACUUCAAAUAGCUAGAAAUUUCUAAUUAUUAGCCUCCACUUGACACCAAUCAAUGUGUCUGAUGUUAAAAAAUAGACAAUGCAAAGGUCAGAAUUUGUGACUCACUUUUAUGUUUGCACUGUUGGUUUACAUUUUUUGGAAGGGUGCCCUAUGUUUUUCUGUCUUGUGGAGGCAGUUGAGUAGAUCUUGACAUCUCAACUUUGUGGAAGAGAUUGAAAAUUACUGUUGUCCCCUGUAUUAUGCAUUCAAAAUCUUAAUCCUCAAAAUCUCAAUUUUUUAUUUAUAAUGACCAGGAUUAAUUUUCAAAUACUCUGUGGUCUAGAAAAUGUUGUUAUUGUACCCCCACUCUGUGGUAAUAUGAUCAUUUGGAAUUUUGAGUGUGAUUGCAGAAACAGCGGUAAAGGAGUUAGCCAUGGAAGCUCUUAGAGCUCCCUCUUUUCCUUCAUUUCAUUUGUCAGUGCUCACAACUAGAUUUCCUUCGAGGUCAUAUGACAAACCCUUGUUGCAUCUUCCCUUUAAUCCAUUACGCAAUUAUUCUUUUUCAUCAAUCUGUGGAAAAUUUUCAAAAACAAAGCCUUGCACAGCCAGAUUUUCCGCUUGUUCAAGCAAAUCCAUGGAGUCGCCUAGACCAUCUCACCAUGGAGAAGAGAAAUUUGACUAGUUUUCACAGUGGCAUCCGGUUGCCCCAGUCUGUGAUCUUGACAAGAGAAAGCCGCAUGCCAAGAGGGUAAUGGUUCUUGAUGUGGUUGUGUGGUGGGAUAGAAAUGAAAGUGAAUGGAAGGUGUUUGAUGAUGCUUGUGCUCAUAGGUUGGCUCCAUGGUCUGAAGGGAGGAUUGAUCAGUGGGGCCGGUUGCAGUGUGUCUACCAUGGCUGGUGUUUUAAUGGCAGGCACCCCUAGAUGGUCCUCCGGUAAAAAUAAAUCUGGCAUCUUGAGUAGUUAUAAUUCUGGCAUACAUCCAGUAGCUCUCCCAAUUCCAAGAUACUGAUCUGGAUUCAAAUCCAAUCCCUCAAAAAAUCUGAAUCUAUAUGCUUGAGUGUGUUUGAACGAAUAGAAUGAAUUAGAUUUUUCUUUUGAAUUUGUAAAACAUGAACAGCAUGUAGUUCUUAUUGUAGCUUUUGACAAAGUAAGCAGGUUCACACAUUCAAGAAAGCACGUGCAGCUGUUUAUCCAAGUGCUGUGCAGAAUGGAAUUGUCUGGUUUUGGCCAAACACCGAUCCUCAAUUCAAAGAUAUUCUUAUGAAGAAAAGGCCUCCUUACAUCCCAGAAUUGGAUGACCUAUCAUAUACCAAGUCGAUGGGAGCUAGAGAUUUUCCAUUCGGGUACGAGAUUCUGAUGGAAAAUGUCAUGGACCCGACUCAUGUUGCAAAUGCACAUUACGGGAUAAUGCAAAUUCCACAAGCAAAAGACAUAAGCAGAUCUAACUAGGCCUAGUUUUAGGUAUUGUACUGUGAUGCUUGGUAUUGAGAGAUUCAUUUAUCUCACACAUAAUUUCUUUCACACCCAAGGCAGAUAGAGAAGGGGGGACACCAGUUGAGAUCAGCAUGAAGAGAUUGGCCAUAGAUGGUUUUGAUGCAGAGAGGUAGCUUGCCAGGAGCAAAUUUAUUCCACCCUGUUUGUAGUAUACUUGUUUGGAUUUUCUGGCAUAUCAAAGUAAUGAAUCUGUGUCAUCAGGCCUUACCAAAGAGGAACCGUUGUCUCAUGUGUCUCCAAAAAGAGCACUUUUGUUUCUCAUCUGUGUUCCAGUAAGUCCAGGAAAUAGCAGAUUGAUAUGGACUUCUCCAAGAAACUUUGGAUUGUGGACUGAUCGUAUUGUUCCACGAUGAAUGCUUCAUAUGAGGCAAAACCUUAUUCUAGAUUCAGAUUUAUAUCUUCCCCAUGUAGAGGAGCUUAAGAUUAAACCCUUCCAAUUGGCUUGUGCCAACAAAGUCAGAUGCCCACAUCAUUGCCUUCAGAGCAUGGUUGAGGAAGUACUGAGGUGGCCAACUUGA